rnacentral:rRNA from 1 species
UACGGGGGGGCAAGCGUUGUUCGGAAUUACUGGGCGUAAAGGGCCAGUAGGCGGCCAACUAAGUCGGAUGUGAAAUCCCCAGGCUUAACCUGGGAAUGCAUCCGAUACUGGAUGGCUUGAAUUCGGGAGAGGGAUGCAGAAUUCCAGGUGUAGCGGUGAAAUGCGUAGAUAUCUGGAGGAAUACCGGUGGCGAAGGCGGCAUCCUGGACCGACAUUGACGCUGAACGGCGAAAGCUAGGGGAGCAAACGGG